rnacentral:lncRNA from 1 species
UUCUCCACUUUCAGCAAACAUCACAGCUGCUAUGCCCAUAUCCUCCUGCCUAUGCCUUCUCUUCACACUGUACCUGCUCCUCUGGCUCUACAAAUCCCACAUGUCACUCCUUAAAGGACAACCAAAUGAUCCCCACUUCACUGGCCCAGUCUUUUCUCUCACUAAAGACAAUAUUGGAUGCUGCAAGAAAUUAAAUCAACAUGGAGGAUUCCCAUUCUCAGUGAGUUAGGUUCAUCAUAAGUCAUGCUUCAUAACCCAGACUAACAAAGAGUUAACAUCCUUCUUGCAGUCUCCCCUCUCUCGAUUCCCUGGGUACAGGUUUUAGUUCCAAAUAACAAUUUUUCUAGGGUUUUUUUUUUUCUGCCUGUGAAACUGCAGCCUUGUUAUCUCCCUGGAACCCAUUUCACUGUCUCUUUUUAAAAAUUUUAACUAUGAGUUCCAUCUGCCGUCACUGAACUGGAAGGUCCUCAAAAUGUAAAGCAAGUCCCACUGGCAAUUGCCUUAAAGAAUCAUUUGCCUGAUAAACAGCAAAUCACAAAAUGGGUGUUACCUUCUUUAAAUUAACAACCAAAAAUAAGUAAGUAAAUAAAUAAAUAAAAAAUAAAUAAAGAGAGACAAAGUCUUGCUUAGCUCGCACAAUAGGCAUGUCUGAAUUCCCUCUUUCUUUAUCCACUGAGUAAAAGUACCUGUUGAGGGAGCCACAAGACUUCACACUGCAUGGCAUGGUAGCUCGAAAUGCUCCUGUGGUGGGGGUUACACAGAGGGGGCACCUAGGGGAACAGUCACAUUGCUGCUGCUUAUUGUGAGAUCUCAGAGUUCCUCCUUUAAAGCGUUUUCCCAUAAAGUGUUUAUAAUUAUAAUGUUUUGCCCACCA